ACUGUGGAGUGUACAAGAACUUGUGUGUAGAGUAUUGUUUUUAAUCGCCAAAGCAUACACAUUGAAGCAGUAA
rnacentral:ncRNA from 1 species